rnacentral:rRNA from 1 species
GCAUCGAUGAAGAACGCAGCGAAAUGCGAUACGUAAUAUGAAUUGCAGAUAUUCGUGAAUCAUCGAAUCUUUGAACGCACAUUGCGCCCUCUGGUAUUCCGGAGGGCAUGCCUGUUUGAGCGUCGUUUC